AGCGAACGCUGGCGGUAUGCUUAACACAUGCAAGUCGAGCGCGAAAGUGACUUCGGUCAUAAGUAGAGCGGCGGACGGGUGAGUAACACGUGGAUAAUCUGCCUUUAGGACUGGGAUAACCCUGGGAAACUAGGGCUAAUACCGGAUAAGACCACAGGUUCCAUGGAACCAGGGGUAAAAGGCGGCCUUCGGGCUGUCGCCGAAA
rnacentral:rRNA from 1 species